rnacentral:rRNA from 1 species
CCCUUAGAUGUUCUGGGCCGCACGCGCGCUAUACUGACGAUGGCAACGAGUUUUUCCUUCGCCGAAAGGUGUGGGUAAUCUUUUGAAACAUCGUCGUGCUGGGGAUAGAUCAUUGCAAUUUUUGAUCUUGAACGAGGAAUUCCUAGUAAGCGCGAGUCAUCAGCUCGCGUUGAUUACGUCCCUGCCCUUUGUACACACCGCCCGUCGCUACUACCGAUUGAAUGGUUUAGUGAGGACUCCUGAUUGGCGCCGCCGCCCCGGCAACGGAGCAGCGGACUGCCGAAAAGUUGUUCAAACUUGAUCAUUUAGAGGAAGUAAAAGUCGUAACA